UAGGGAAUCUUCGGCAAUGGGGGCAACCCUGACCGAGCAACGCCGCGUGAGUGAAGAAGGUUUUCGGAUCGUAAAGCUCUGUUGUAAGAGAAGAACGUGUGUGAGAGUGGAAAUUCACACAGUGACGGUAACUUACCAGAAGGGACGGCUAACUACGUGCCCG
rnacentral:rRNA from 1 species